rnacentral:rRNA from 1 species
UUGAACGCUGGCGGCAUGCCUUACACAUGCAAGUCGAACGGUAGAGGGACAACCCUUGAGAGUGGCGAACGGGUGAGUAAUGCAUCGGAACGUGCCCAGUCGUGGGGGAUAACGCAGCGAAAGCUGUGCUAAUACCGCAUGUGAUCUGUGGAUGAAAGCAGGGGACCGCAAGGCCUUGUGCGAUUGGAGCGGCCGAUGUCAGAUUAGCUAGUUGGUAGGGUAAAAGCCUACCAAGGCGACGAUCUGUAGCUG